rnacentral:sRNA from 1 species
AUAAUCUCAUCUCUUUUAUAUAAACAUGAAGUUGAUUCGUAAUUGGUUUUUUUUUUCUUAAGAUUGGAAUGGGUGCAAUCUAAGCACUCCUAAAAUUGAAAAGUUCUCCGAAGAUUUUGAGAAUGGCUGUGUCAUAUAUGGUUUAUCAUCCAUGCAAGGAUGACGUACCACAAUGGAGGAUGCUGUAAUUGAUCAUCAUGCGGUUUGUAAGUUGGAUUUUUCUAACUGGUGGGUUAUCGAAUUGAUAAAAUUGGCGAAUUUGAUUAAUGUAGUGUCAAAUUGGUGGAGCAUGAGUUAUGACAGCGAGAAGAGAAGGGGUUAAUUGGUGUGUUGUCUCAAGUUACACCUGAAACAGUUAGUUCUCGCCGCAACGCCCGGGCUUAAUAUCUAGUAGGUUCUAAGGGAAUGUUGAGAGAGAAGAUUUCCCCAAUAAAUGAACGAGAGUAGAUGAAUUCCAUGAAGAACUAAGAACUGCUCUCUCUCUCUCUCUCUCUCUCUCUCUCUCUCUCUCUCUCUCUAUAUAUCUUCUAAUUAAUGUCGAGUCCAGAUUCAUCAUCAAAUGGGAGCAAUAACAUCUAUUGCUAUAGUCAUGGUGUGCAAGAAAUGUAAGGAACUCACAAGAAAGAAACAAAUUCAGAAUGGCAGCUUAGUGAGGAUCACAAGUCUAGACUUUCAGACACUUGCAAUGAACAACCCUUGAGCUGAUAUCUUGGAGGCAAAGUUACAAGUUUUGAAUUUCAAUUUUUUAUGUUUACUUUCAUAUGUAAUCUGAGCCAUUGGAUCAUAGUCCAAGUGGUCUCUUCUCUAGCCUAAGAUUUAAGUGAUAGAUUAUGACAAGUGUAAUCACCUCAUAGGGUGAUAGAAUCAAAGGCUAGGAUUUAAUCUUGGUGUAAAGUUGUUAGAGAAGAAUCUCACUGCUCUCUCUCCUCUAACGGUUAUAUUUGGUUAGUGGAGUGUGAAAUUCAAUUAGAAUCUUCAUCACUCUCGCAGCACCAUAGCUGCAUUUUCU